AAACAUUUCUUUAAGAUUAAAAUUUAAGGUAAGUUCUGCUCAAUGAAUAAAAUUUAAAUAGCUGCAGUAUUUUGACUGUACAAAGGUAGCAUAAUAAAUUGUUUUUUAAAUGAAAACUAGUAUGAAAGAAUAAAUGAAAUAUAAACUUUAUUAAUUAAAUAAAUUGAAUUUAAAUUUUAAGUUAAAAUGCUUAAAUAUUUUAAUGGGACGAUAAGACCCUAUAGAAUUUUAUAUUUUAUAUUUAUAUAUAUUAAUAAUUUAAAUAUAAAAAUAUUUAUUUGGGAGGAAUGUUUAAUUUAAUUAACUUAAAUUGAUUUAAAUCAUAUAUUUAUGUAAUUUUUGAUUUUAUUUUUUUAAUUAUAAGAUUAAAUUACCUUAGGGAUAACAGCGUAAUAUUUUUUGAGAGUUCAUAUUGAAAAAAAUGUUU
rnacentral:rRNA from 1 species